CCCGCUGAACUUAAGCAUAUCACUAAGCAGAGGAAAACUAACAAGGAUUCCCCUAGUAACUGCGAGUGAACAGGGAUUAGUCCAACACCGAAGCCUGCGGUUAUUCGAUCGUAAGGCAAUGUCGUGUUUAGGGUGGCUUCAUGCAUUACUGCUCUGUCCCAAGUUCAGCAAUGAGUACGGCUUCCCAUUCUGGCCCAAAGAGGGUGAAAAGCCCGUGGGGGGCAGAGAUCAAGUGUGACAGUUUUGCUCUGAGCUACACUUGGGGUCGGGUUGUUUGUGAAUGCAGCCCAAAGUGGGUGGUAAACUCCAUCCAAGGCUAAAUACUUACACGAGUCCGAUAGCAAACAAGUACCGUGAGGGAAAGUUGAAAAGUACUUUGAAGAGAGAGUAAACAGUGCUUGAAACCGUUCAAAGGUAAACGGGUGGAGUUGAACUGUNNNNNNNNNNNNNNNNNNNNNNNNNNNNNNCGCGCACUGUUGGUGUGAGGGUCUGUUUGUCAGUGCACUUUUUCAGGGUGUUAACCACGACCGGCAUUGCUGCCUGUCUGCUAUGGUCAAACUGAUCAGGUCUGAUUUCUGUCAGUCCUGGUUGGGUCGGUAGGUGGCUCUUUGGCUCAUUUAUGGGCCGUGAGUGUUACUAAAUGGCUGUAGUGGAUCUGUGCGGUGUGUCGGAGAUGGCGGCUUCGCAUGCGUGCUUAGACCUUCG
rnacentral:ncRNA from 1 species